GACGAACGCUGGCGGCGUGCUUAACACAUGCAAGUCGAGCGGUAAGGCCCUUUCGGGGGUACACGAGCGGCGAACGGGUGAGUAACACGUGGGUGACCUGCCCUCAGCUCUGGGAUAAGCCUGGGAAACCGGGUCUAAUACCGGAUAUGACUCCAUGAUGCAUGUUGUGGGGUGGAAAGCCUUGUGCGGCUGAGGAUGGGCCCGCGGCCUAUCAGCUUGUUGGUGGGGUGANGGCCUACCAAGGCGACGACGGGUAGCCGGCCUGAGAGGGCGACCGGCCACACUGGGACUGAGACACGGCCCAGACUCCUACGGGAGGCAGCAGGUGGGGAAUCUUGCGCAAGUGGGACGAAAGCCUGACGCAGCGACGCCGCGUGA
rnacentral:rRNA from 1 species